AGCAGUAUACUGCGAAACUGCGAAUGGCUCAUUAAAUCAGUUAUCGUUUAUUUGAUAGUACCUACUACUUGGAUAACCGUGGUAAUUCUAGAGCUAAUACAUGCAAAAAACCCCGACUUCGGAAGGGGUGUAUUUAUUAGAUAAAAAACCAAUGCCCUUCUGGGCUUUAUGGUGAAUCAUGAUAACUUAACGAAUCGCAUAGCCUUGAGCUGGCGAUGGUUCAUUCAAAUUUCUGCCCUAUCAACUUUCGAUUGGUGAGUAGUGUUCACCAAUGGUAUCGACGGGUAACGAAGAAUUAGGGUUCGAUCUCGGAGAGGACGCCCGAGAAAUGGCGUGCACAUCCAAGGAAGGCAGCAGGCGCGCAAAUUACCCAAUCCCGAUUCGGGGAGGUAGUGACAAUAAAUACUGAUGCAGGGCUCUUUUGGGUCUUGCAAUUGGAAUGAGUACAAUUUAAAUCCCUUAACGAGGAACAAUUGGAGGGCAAGUCUGGUGCCAGCAGCCGCGGUAAUUCCAGCUCCAAUAGCGUAUAUUAAAGUUGUUGCAGUUAAAAAGCUCGUAGUUGAAAUUUGGGCCUGGCUGACCGGUCCGCCUCACCGCGUGUACUGGCUCGGCCGGGCCUUUCCUUCUGGGGAAGCUCAUGGUCUUUAUUGACUGUGUGGGGAACCAGGACUUUUACUUUGAAAAAAUUAGAGUGUUCAAAGCAGGCCUUUGCUCGAAUACAUUAGCAUGGAAUAAUGGAAUAGGACGGCUUUCCUAUUUUGUUGGUUUCUAGGAGAGCCGUAAUGAUUAAUAGGGACAGUCGGGGGCAUCAGUAUUCAAUUGUCAGAGGUGAAAUUCUUGGAUUUAUUGAAGACUAACUACUGCGAAAGCAUUUGCCAAGGAUGUUUUCAUUAAUCAGUGAACGAAAGUUAGGGGAUCGAAGACGAUCAGAUACCGUCGUAGUCUUAACCAUAAACUAUGCCGACUAGGGAUCGGUGGAUGUUACUAUUUUGACUCCAUCGGCACCUUACGAGAAAUCAAA
rnacentral:rRNA from 1 species